ACUGAGAACAGGAAGGAGGACCUCCGGAAUCAGGCCUCCAAAAACACCAAGAGGUCUAUUGAGAACAGGAAGGAGGACCUCCGGAAUCAGGCCUCCAAAAACCCCCAAGAGAUCUACUGAGAACAGGAAGGAGGACCUCCGGAAUCAGGCCUCCAAAAACACCAAGAGGU